rnacentral:rRNA from 1 species
UCGGGAUAACACCUGGAAACAGAUGCUAAUACCGGAUAACAACAGAUGAUGCCUAUCAACUGUUUAAAAGAUGGUUCUGCUAUCACUCUUGGAUGGACCUGCGGUGCAUUAGCUAGUUGGUAGGGUAACGGCCUACCAAGGCGAUGAUGCAUAGCCGAGUUGAGAGACUGAUCGGCCACAUUGGGACUGAGACACGGCCCAAACUCCUACGGGAGGCAGCAGC